rnacentral:rRNA from 1 species
GACGAACGCUGGCGGCGUGCUUAACACAUGCAAGUCGAACGAAGAGCGAUGGAAGCUUGCUUCUAUCAAUCUUAGUGGCGAACGGGUGAGUAACGCGUAAUCAACCUGCCCUUCAGAGGGGGACAACAGUUGGAAACGACUGCUAAUACCGCAUACGAUCUAAUCUCGGCAUCGAGGAUAGAUGAAAGGUGGCCUCUACAUGUAAGCUAUCACUGAAGGAGGGGAUUGCGUCUGAUUAGCUAGUUGGAGGGGUAACGGCCCACCAAGGCGAUGAUCAGUAGCCGGUCUGAGAGGUGAACGGCCACAUUGGGACUGAGACACGGCCCAGACUCCUACGGGAGGCAGCAGUGGGGAAUCUUCCGCAAUGGACGAAAGUCUGACGGAGCAACGCCGCGUGAGUGAUGACGGCCUUCGGGUUGUAAAGCUCUGUUAAUCGGGACGAAAGGCCUUCUUGCGAAUAGUGAGAAGGAUUGACGGUACCGGAAUAGAAAGCCACGGCUAACUACGUG